CUGAAGGUCAGAAGCUUGGCACAUGG
rnacentral:piRNA from 1 species